CCUACGAGAGGCAGCAGUGGGGAAUAUUGGACAAUGGGGGGAACCCUGAUCCAGCGACGCCGCGUGAGUGAAGAAGUAUUUCGGUAUGUAAAGCUCUAUCAGCAGGGAAGAAAGAAAUGACGGUACCUGACUAAGAAGCCCCGGCUAACUACGUGCCAGCAGCCGCGGUAAUACGUAGGGGGCAAGCGUUAUCCGGAUUUACUGGGUGUAAAGGGAGCGUAGACGGCGAUGCAAGUCUGAAGUGAAAGGCGGGGGCGCAACCCCUGGACUGCUUUGGAAACUGUAUGGCUGGAGUGCAGGAGAGGUAAGUGGAAUUCCUAGUGUAGCGGUGAAAUGCGUAGAUAUGAGGAGGAACCCCAGUGGCGAAGGCGGCUUACUGGACUGUAACUGACGUUGAGGCUCGAAAGCGUGGGGAGCAAACAGGAUUAGAUACCCGGGUAGUC
rnacentral:rRNA from 1 species